AAUGAUCUUGUAUUGAUUUAGGUCCUUUGCAUGAUUUAGGAAGCAAUCUAUCCUUAAUGCAAAGCCAUUCACUUGAUCCAUGAUCAAGAUGAAUUAGAUUUGAAUCAAAAAAGCUUAAACCUCCGUAGUCAAUGCUAACCACCAAUCUUUAACUCAUUGAUCAAAAAAAGAAAAAAGAAGAAUAAGAAGAAGAAGAUGAAGAAAUAAAGUGCA
rnacentral:lncRNA from 1 species